AUUGAACGCUGGCGGCAGGCUUAACACAUGCAAGUCGAACGAGUGGCGGACGGGUGAGUAAUACAUGGGAAUCUGCCUUAUGGAGGGGGAUAACUACUGGAAACUGUAGCUAAUACCGCGUACCAUAGGAUGAGCCCAAGUGGGAUUAGGUAGUUGGUGGGGUAAAGGCUCACCAAGGCGACGAUCCCUAGCUGGUCUGAGAGGAUGACCAGCCACACUGGGACUGAGACACGGCCCAGACUCCUACGGUAGGCAGCAGUGGGGAAGUUUGGGCAAUGGGGGGAACCUGAUGCAGCCAUCCCGCGUGGAUGAAGAAGGCCUUCGGGUUGUAAAGUUCUUUCAGUUGGGAGGCGUUAACUACAGAAGAAGCACCGGCUAACUCCGUGCCAGCAGCCGCGGUAAUAC
rnacentral:rRNA from 1 species